rnacentral:rRNA from 1 species
AUUGAACGCUGGCGGCAGGCCUAACACAUGCAAGUCGAACGGUAGCACAGAGAGCUUGCUCUCGGGUGACGAGUGGCGGACGGGUGAGUAACGUCUGGGAAACUGCCCGAUGGAGGGGGAUAACUACUGGAAACGGUAGCUAAUACCGCAUAACGUCGCAAGACCAAAGUGGGGGACCUUCGGGCCUCACACCAUCGGAUGUGCCCAGAUGGGAUUAGCUAGUAGGUGGGGUAAUGGCUCACCUAGGCGACGAUCCCUAGCUGGUCUGAGAGGAUAACCAGCCAAACUGGAACUGAGACACGGUCCAGACUCCUACGGGAGGCAGCAGUGGGGAAUAUUGCACAAUGGGCGCAAGCCUGAUGCAGCCAUGCCGCGUGUAUGAAGAAGGCCUUCGGGUUGUAAAGUACUUUCAGCGGGGAGGAAGGCGGUGAAGUUAACAGCUUCACCGAUUGACGUUACCCGCAGAAGAAGCACCGGCUAACUCCGUGCCAGCCGCCGCGGUAA